rnacentral:rRNA from 1 species
GAAGGGGGCUAGCGUUGUUCGGAAUCACUGGGCGUAAAGCGUACGUAGGCGGAUUGUUAAGUCAGGGGUGAAAUCCCGAGGCUCAACCUCGGAACUGCCUUUGAUACUGGCUGUCUUGAGUCCGGGAGAGGUGAGUGGAACUCCUAGUGUAGAGGUGAAAUUCGUAGAUAUUAGGAAGAACACCAGUGGCGAAGGCGGCUCACUGGCCCGGAACUGACGCUGAUGUACGAAAGCGUGGGGAGCAAACAGGAUUAGAUACCCUGGUAGUCCACGCCGUAAACGAUGGAUGCUAGCCGUCGGCAAGCUUGCUUGUCGGUGGCGCAGCUAACGCAUUAAGCAUCCCGCCUGGGGAGUACGGUCGCAAGAUUA